GACUCAAUAGCUUAAUUGGUAUAGGGUGUCAACCCGGUUCGCUGAAUAUGCAAAUUCAAAUCCCGCUUGAGUCA